rnacentral:rRNA from 1 species
AGGAUGAACGCUGGCGGCGUGCCUAAUGCAUGCAAGUCGAGCGACGCAUAUCGGAGGGGUAACCCACUGGUAUGACGGAGCGGCGAACGGGUGAGUAACACGUGGGUGACCUGCCCUCAGCUCUGGGAUAAGCCUGGGAAACCGGGUCUAAUACCGGAUGGGACUGCUUGCCGCAUGGUGGGUGGUGGAAAGUUUUUUCGGCUGGGGAUGGGCCCGCGGCCUAUCAGCUUGUUGGUGGGGUGAUGGCCUACCAAGGCGGUGACGGGUA